UAAUGGAAAAAAAUAAAUUUAUUGGUAAGCUGUCAGAGUGGUUUUAGGAAGGGAAGGAAUACAGUGGAUUCAGUAUCUAAUCUCACUAC